GGGCACCGACGAAAAGGAAUGGGGAGGGGCGGGGAAAUCAACGCACCACGCCCCAGCCUCGGACCCCGCCCUAGCCCGGUCACUCCGCCUUACCCGGCUCGCGUUUAGGCGGGAAAGCUGGAGAUCUCCCAGAAGUUGUCGGGCAUUUCUUCUGGUUUUUUUCCUCUCCACAAGGGUCAUAGGAAUCUGUUGAGAAAUUUAUUGUGGCUCAUGACACCUCCUCGGUACCCGUUUUCGUGUUGGCUAAGCAAAAAGGAGUUCGUGAAAAGAAAACUGGACCACAACCCAACUAACCAAAGUACAAUAAAUGAUUGUGUUCA